rnacentral:rRNA from 1 species
AUUGAACGCUGGCGGCAGGCCUAACACAUGCAAGUCGAACGAGUGGCGGACGGGUGAGUACUGUCUGGGAAACUGCCCGAUGGAGGGGGAUAACUACUGGAAACGGUAGCUAAUACCGCAUACCAUCGGAUGUGCCCAGAUGGGAUUAGCUAGUAGGUGGGGUAACGGCUCACCUAGACGACGAUCCCUAGCUGGUCUGAGAGGAUGACCAGCCCCACUGGGACUUAGCCACGGUCCAGACUCCUUCGGGAGGCAGCCUUGGGUAAUUUUGCACAAUGGGCGGCAGCCUGAUGCCGCCAUGCCGCGGGUAUGAAGAAGGCCUUCGGGUUUUAAAGUACUUUCAGCGAAGAGGCGUUACUCGCAGAAGAAGCACCGGCUAACUCCGUGCCAGCAGCCGCGGUAAUAC